GAACGCUGGCGGCAUGCCUUACACAUGCAAGUCGAACGGCAGCGGGGGGAGCUUGCUCCCUGACGGCGAGUGGCGGACGGGUGAGUAACACGUAGGAAUCUACCUUAAUUAUAAUAGUUAGUGGGGGAUAACCCGGGGAAACUCGGGCUAAUACCGCAUAAUCUCUUCAAAGCAAAGCGGGGGAUCUUCGGACCUCGUGCCAUGAGAUGAGCCUGCGUCGGAUUAGCUAGUUGGUAGGGUAAUGGCCUACCAAGGCGACGAUCCGUAGCUGGUCUGAGAGGACGAUCAGCCACACUGGGACUGAGACACGGCC
rnacentral:rRNA from 1 species